UUUUUUUUUUUUUUUUUUUAGGUUCUUCCUGCCCUUUCCUUCCUUCCUUCCUUUUCUCUCUUCUCCGCCCCCGCACUCCUUUCCCGGUUUCCCCCCUCGUUGGGAAGGCGUUUUUAUAGUUUAUGUGACGUAGCAAUCUUGGUUGCUGGAAUGGCUGUAUCAGUAGCGAUAUUUAUCUCUUCGUGCUCCUCGAUAGGCCACUGGCCCUGCACCCUUUACCUUCUCCACUCUUUGAUCAGAAACAGGGUAUAUGAACAAAUUUUCUAGUCGAGUUUUCAAUGUGAAUUUGUUCGUACAUUAUGGCUCCCGAGGGGAAGCGAUUACUUUUUUUAAUUUUAAUUUUUUUAAUUGCACUUCUUAUAAAGAAUGAGAAAAAAAAAUCAAAGGCGCUUUGAAACAGGGGCUCCCUGUGCAAGGAUGACUAAGUGUACGUCUUUCCGUGUGUGUAUGCUGGUGAACAGUCAGAUUUAUUUAUAUUUUUUUGCAAGCAUUGAAUAAUCUAAGUUUUAAAUAUUAUUUAUCCCCAUCCGUUCGUAUUUAUAUUAAAGAAAUUCUGUACCCUGAUGGUUCAGAGGGUUCUUGGGCCUUUUGUUCAAUUGUGUAUUGGCGUACUUAGAAUUUUUUUUUUUAUUUCAAAGGGAAGUAUAAUUCCUUUAAACGGUAAUGAUGCAAUAAAACCAGAGAAGAUCCAGCUUUUGAAAACAGUGAUUUAGGUUUGUAACAUCCGGCAAAACUGAAAAAAAAAAAUCUGUAAACGCGAAAAAUACUAGAUUUGUUUUGAGAAUUCUACAUUCCUUGCUGCUCACAUUCUGAGAAACAAAAAGAAAUAAAGUUUUUAUUCUGAAUAAUAUACGUGUUAAGAAGGGGUUCCUUGGCCGAAGACGUGGGUCUGCGUGGAAUUCAGGCCGAGGCGAGCCGGCAGAGCAGGCCGGGCUCAGCAGCCCUUCGGCUCCAGCAUGGGGCCUGGCCAGGCUAUUCGCCUGGAAGCUCGGCGAAUUCUC
rnacentral:lncRNA from 1 species